rnacentral:rRNA from 1 species
AGAGUUUGAUCCUGGCUCAGGAUGAACGCUAGCUACAGGCUUAACACAUGCAAGUCGAGGGGCAGCAUGUUGGUUGCUUGCAACCAAUGAUGGCGACCGGCGCACGGGUGAGUAACGCGUAUCCAACCUACCCUUGUCCAUCGGAUAACCCGUCGAAAGGCGGCCUAACACGAUAUGCGGUUCACAGCAGGCAUCUAAGGUGAACGAAUGUGAAGGAGAAGGAUGGGGAUGCGUCUGAUUAGCUUGUUGGCGGGGUAACGGCCACCAAGGCGACGAUCAGUAGGGGUUCUGAGAGGAACGGUCCCCCACAUUGGGAACUGAGACACGGUCCAAACUCCUACGGGAGGCCA